rnacentral:rRNA from 1 species
GAUGAACGCUGGCGGCGUGCCUAAUACAUGCAAGUCGAGCGAACAGAUGAGGAGCUUGCUCCUCUGACGUUAGCGGCGGACGGGUGAGUAACACGUGGAUAACCUACCUAUAAGACUGGGAUAACUUCGGGAAACCGGAGCUAAUACCGGAUAAUAUAUUCAACCGCAUGGUGCAAUAGUGAAAGACGGUUUUGCUGUCACUUAUCGAUGGAUCCGCGCCGCAUUAGCUAGUUGGUAAGGUAACGGCUUACCAAGGCAACGAUGCGUAGCCGACCUGAGAGGGUGAUCGGCCACACUGGAACUGAGACACGGUCCAGACUCCUACGGGAGGCAGCAGUAGGGAAUCUUCCGCAAUGGGCGAAAGCCUGACGGAGCAACGCCGCGUGAGUGAUGAAGGUCUUCGGAUCGUAAAACUCUGUUAUUAGGGAAGAACAAAGGUGUAAGUAACUAUACACGUCUUGACGUUACCUAAUCAGAAAGCCACGGCUAACUACGUG